GUGGAGGCAGCAGUGGGGAAUAUUGGGCAAUGGGCGCAAGCCUGACGCAGCAACGCCGCGUGAAGGAUGAAGGAUUUUGGUCUGUAAACUUCUUUAAUCUGUGACGAAUAAAUGACGGUAGCAGAGGAAUAAGCCCCGGCUAACUACGUGCCAGCAGCCGCGGUAAUACGUAGGGGGCAAGCGUUGUCCGGAUUUACUGGGUGUAAAGGGUGCGUAGGCGGGUACUUAAGUCAGAUGUGAAAUCCACGGGCUCAACUUGUGGUCUGCAUUUGAAACUGGGUAUCUUGAGUGCAGGAGAGGAAAGCGGAAUUCCUAGUGUAGCGGUGAAAUGCGUAGAUAUUAGGAGGAACACCAGUGGCGAAGGCGGCUUUCUGGACUGUAACUGACGCUGAGGCACGAAAGUGUGGGGAGCAAACAGGAUUAGAAACCCUUGUAGUCCC
rnacentral:rRNA from 1 species